CUGCCUCUGAUGCAUGCACCUCCCAGCCCGCUCUCCGCGGCUCUCUCCCUAUUUAAAGGCUGAUGUGGUGUUUAAAUGGAGAGGCGGUGACGUGGGGCUGGAAAGCACCUUCCCAUCCAGGCAGAGUCUAUAUUAGAGAGCGGCAAUAGCUCUAUAUAAACAGGGCAGCCGCAGGGAGGAGGAACACAAGGCGCAGGCAGGCAGAAAGGCAGGGCGGCCAUGAUGGAUCCCGCGCCACCAGCCAGGGGCCAAGCCCGCCCGGAUUCCCCUCCCGCUGCUCAACUGCGAUGAGGUUCUGACAACAACAAAAACAGUGCUGGCUCUGAUCCAUGAAGCCUAACAACAAAGAACACAGUCUUUCUAGAGAGGAACAGUGAGCAUGACGCUGGCGGGUCAGAGGAGAUCCUCUUGACUUCAGGGUGUUUGCAGAGCCAUAAAGCUUGGCUAUGGUGUCAGUGCAACCAGACCUCCCACAGACAUGCAAAGGAGCUGCAAAGGCAAAUGCCACCAUGGCUUACUCUGCAGACCCUGCUGAUGAAACCCCACUGAUGAAACUAGGCUCUCACCUGCUUACUAAAGGGCUGGAGGAAAAUAUGCAAAAAGUUGAACACUGAGUGAGCCAACUCCUUUGGGUCUGCAGAUCAGAGCUGGAAAUCUCCUUAACUGUUUCUUUCACAAAGCUCACACUUCAUCAGCAAUAUCUCAGAACACAUUCAAGUCUGUUUUGUUGAUUUUCUUGCUCGUCCUUCUCAGAAACUGUACCAUAAAAGCAGCAGAGAAAAACAUGAAGAAUACCCAGAAGUUCUUUGAAUGAUUUUGUACUGCAAACAAUUAAUGAAAAGAAAGAACAGUGAGAAGACAAGUGAAUUUUGUACAGAGGAGUUGCCAUGAAAUUCAUCAUAGCCCGCCUGUAACAGAGCUGAGAGCAUGAAUUCAGAUCUUUGCUGUUACACAUUUCAGGACCUAUUUAAAUUAUUAAUUAAUAAAUAAUAAUAAUUAACACUUUAUCA
rnacentral:lncRNA from 1 species